rnacentral:rRNA from 1 species
UGUGUAGGAUAGGUGGGAGGCUAUGAAGACGUGACGCCAGUUGCGUUGGAGCCGUCCUUGAAAUACCACCCUUGUAUGUUUGAUGUUCUAACUUAGCCCCAUUAUCUGGGGUGAGGACAGUGCCUGGUGGGUAGUUUGACUGGGGCGGUCUCCUCCCAAAGAGUAACGGAGGAGCACGAAGGUGGGCUAAUCACGGUUGGACAUCGU